rnacentral:sRNA from 1 species
UCCUGCCCCAGAUAGAAAUGAAAAGCCUUUUUAAGAAAAACUAACCAUUUUUUCUUGAAUUUAAAAAGCGACUUUAGAAGCUCUUUUAAAUUUUUAGAAAAAAGUUGUUUUGACAAAAAGCUUGAAAUGAUAGCUGGAUUAAGG